rnacentral:Y_RNA from 1 species
GGCUGGUCUGAGUGCAGUGGUGUUUACAACUAAUUGAUCAGUGGGGUUUCAGAUUUCUUUGUUCCUUUUCCACUCUUAUUACUUCACUUGAUUAGCUUUAC